GAGGAGCUUGCUCUUCUUGGAUGAGUUGCGAACGGGUGAGUAACGCGUAGGUAACCUGCCUUGUAGCGGGGGAUAACUAUUGGAAACGAUAGCUAAUACCGCAUAACAAUGGAUGACACAUGUCAUUUAUUUGAAAGGGGCAAUUGCUCCACUACAAGAUGGACCUGCGUUGUAUUAGCUAGUAGGUGAGGUAAUGGCUCACCUAGGCGACGAUACAUAGCCGACCUGAGAGGGUGAUCGGCCACACUGGGACUGAGACACGGCCCAGACUCCUACGGGAGGCAGCAGUAGGGAAUCUUCGGCAAUGGGGGCAACCCUGACCGAGCAACGCCGCGUGAGUGAAGAAGGUCUUCGGAUCGUAAAGCUCUGUUGUAAGUCAAGAACGGGUGUGAGAGUGGAAAGUUCACACUGUGACGGUAGCUUACCAGAAAGGGACGGCUAACUACGUGCCAGCAGCCGCGGUAAUACGUAGGUCCCGAGCGUUGUCCGGAUUUAUUGGGCGUAAAGCGAGCGCAGGCGGUUUGAUAAGUCUGAAGUUAAAGGCUGUGGCUCAACCAUAGUUCGCUUUGGAAACUGUCAAACUUGAGUGCAGAAGGGGAGAGUGGAAUUCCAUGUGUAGCGGUGAAAUGCGUAGAUAUAUGGAGGAACACCGGUGGCGAAAGCGGCUCUCUGGUCUGUAACUGACGCUGAGGCUCGAAAGCGUGGGGAGCGAACAGGAUUAGAUACCCUGGUAGUCCACGCCGUAAACGAUGAGUGCUAGGUGUUGGAUCCUUUCCGGGAUUCAGUGCCGCAGCUAACGCAUUAAGCACUCCGCCUGGGAGUACGACCGCAAGGUU
rnacentral:rRNA from 1 species